rnacentral:lncRNA from 12 species
CGGGAAUUUAAGGAGUUGCCAGGAGACACUCACAGAAGCUUCAGGUGGAUUAAUCUCAUUUACACUGGAAAAGAGAUGUAGAUUCAAACUCCAUCUGUUCACUACAGCAUUUACCUUGGAGGAACUUUUGCUUCUGGAAUAUGCUGCUUCUGGGAAUAAGCAGACUUCUCACAACAGAUAAUGCCAGAUGAAUAUGCCUCCAAAUCAAGAACCUCUCACUUCCCAAAGACAAGCACACAACUGUGUGGGUCACACAGUCCUGAACCUUGCUGGUAUCCCAGGCAGGGAGCAAUUCAGAAACCCACGUCAACACGCAGCUUAGACAGCUUCAAUUCUGAAUUCUUAAAUGGAUCCCUGAGCCUGGAUGCCCCUUGGUUGGAUCACCAGCUCCCAGUGAUGCUGCAGGUGAACCUCCAGGUGUUCCCUUGGUCCCUGUGGCCUCUUAUGGCCAGGGAUUCAGUGACCCAAAUGUGACACUGCGGUGGUGUCUGCUGUCUCUGUGUGUCUGCCAGCCCUCCUCCCCUUGCUGGCACCCAGUGUGAGUGUGACAGGGAUGGAUAGACAGACAGACAGACAGACAGACAGACAGGCUGAUGCACAGAUACUCUUGUGCUUCAAAAACCUUCAUCUUCUCACAUGAGAAAUUAUCUCUCUCUUUCU